CAGCAGUAAGGAAUAUUGGACAAUGGGCGCAAGCCUGAUCCAGCCAUCUCGCGUGCAGGAUGACGGCGCUACGCGUUGUAAACUGCUUUUGGGUGAGAUGAAACCUGGUUACUUGUGACCGAUUGACGUUAUCACCAGAAUAAGCUCCGGCUAACUGCGUGCCAGCAGCCGCGGUAAUACGGAGGGUGCAAGCGUUAUCCGGAUUCACUGGGUUUAAAGGGUGCGUAGGCGGGCCUGUAAGUCAGAGGUGAAAGCCCUUCGCUUAACGGAGGAAUUGCCUUAGAUACUGCGGUUCUUGAAUUGGGUUGAGGUUAGCGGAAUGUGGCAUGUAGCGGUGAAAUUCUUAGAUAUGCCAUAGAACACCGAUUGCGAAGGCAGUUAACUCGCCCUGGAUUGACGGUGAGGCACGAAAGCGUGUGGAGCGAACAAGAUUAAAUACCCUGGUAGUACCCGCCUUAAUCGAAGU
rnacentral:rRNA from 1 species